rnacentral:tRNA from 1 species
UCUGAUGGCUCAGACAGUAAAGAAUCUGCCUGCAAUGCAGGAGACCCAGGUUCAAUCCCUGGGUUAGAA